UACGGGGGGGGCAAGCGUUGUCCGGAUUUAUUGGGCGUAAAGAGCGUGUAGGCGGCCAAGCAGGUCCGCUGUGAAAACUCGAGGCUCAACCUCGAGACGUCGGUGGAAACCGUAUGGCUAGAGUCCGGAAGAGGAGAGUGGAAUUCCUGGUGUAGCGGUGAAAUGCGCAGAUAUCAGGAAGAACACCCGUGGCGAAGGCGGCUCUCUGGGACGGUACUGACGCUGAGACGCGAAAGCGUGGGGAGCGAACAGG
rnacentral:rRNA from 1 species